UGUCCGUAAUGAGAUACUCACCAGAUGGCAGCUUUUUGGCAGUUGGUUCCCAUGACAACUUUAUCUACAUUUACAACGUCACUGAGGGUGGCCGGCGCUAUACACGAUUCGGAAAGUGCACAGGGCACUCCAGCUUCAUUACUCACCUUGACUGGUCCAAAGAUGGAAAAUACGUCAUGUCCAACUCUGGCGAUUAUGAAAUUCUAUACUGUAAG